ACGUAUGGGGCUAGCGUUGUCCGGAAUUACUGGGCGUAAAGGGCGUCUAGGCGGCGGAUUAAGUCGGGAGUGAAAUCCCUGGGCUCAACGCAGGAACUGCAUCCAAAACUGGUUCUCUUGAGUUCGGGAGAGGAAAGCGGAAUUCCCGGUGUAGCGGUGAAAUGCGUAGAUAUCGGGAAGAACACCAGUGGCGAAGGCGGCUCUCUGGCCUGGAACUGACGCUGAGGCGCGAAAGCGUGGGGAGCGAACAG
rnacentral:rRNA from 1 species